rnacentral:rRNA from 1 species
UACGGGGGAUGCAAGCGUUAUCCGGAAUCAUUGGGCGUAAAGCGCCUGUAGGUUGUUUAAUAAGUCUGUUGUUAAAGACUAGGGCUCAACCCUAGAAAAGCAAUGGAAACUAUUAGACUAGAGUAUGGCAGGGGUAGAGGGAAUUUCUAGUGUAGCGGUGAAAUGCGUAGAUAUUAGAAAGAACACCAGCGGCGAAAGCGCUCUACUGGACCAUUACUGACACUCAGAGGCGAAAGCUAGGGUAGCAAAAGGGAUUAGAUACCCCUGUAGUCCUAGCCGUAAACGAUGGAUACUAGAUGUUGUGCUUCCGUACAGUAUCGUAGCUAACGCGUUAAGUGUUCCGCCUGGGGAGUACGCACGCAAGUGUG